UAGUGGCGCACGGGUGCGUAACGCGUAACCAACCUGCCCUGAACUGGGGGAUAGCCCGCCGAAAGGCGGAUUAAUACCGCAUAAGAUAAGGUGGCGGCAUCGUCUUCUUAUUAAAGAUUUAUUGGUUCAGGAUGGGGUUGCGUGCCAUUAGCUAGUUGGGGGGGUAACGGCCCACCAAGGCGACGAUGGCUAGGGGAGCUGAGAGGCUGGUCCCCCACACGGGCACUGAGAUACGGGCCCGACUCCUACGGGAGGCAGCAGUAGGGAAUAUUGGGCAAUGGGCGAGAGCCUGACCCAGCCAUGCCGCGUGCAGGACGAAGGCUUUCUGAGUCGUAAACUGCUUUUGCCAGGGAAGAAAAAGGGGGAUGCGUCCCCCACUGACGGUACCUGGUGAAUAAGCACCGGCUAACUCCGUGCCAGCAGCCGCGGUAAUACGGAGGGUGCAAGCGUUGUCCGGAAUUAUUGGGUUUAAAGGGUGCGUAGGCGGUUCUUUAAGUCCGGGGUGAA
rnacentral:rRNA from 1 species